AUAAUAAUAGAUUUAGAUUUAUUGCCAUCAAUAAAUAAUACAUGGCGCGUCAUAUAAUUAUGUACAUGUAAGUGUAUAUGGGACAAUACAUACAUUUAUUUUAAAUCUGGAGGGUUAUCCAGGAACUCUUGGAUAGAAUAAUAACUCAUUUCUAAUAGUGCGUCCUUUACCUUCUUCUCAAACAGAGCCGGAGCUAGUCUCUUCAUCGGGUCCUGAAGCUUGUUAUAAAGCUUCGGGCCCCAAUGGUCAAUGCUGUGCUGUGACACUUUAAGCCGAUGGUACGGUGUUGAGAGCGCGUCAGCGUGUCUUGUGUUAUGCUCGUGAUAUGAGCCAUUCUUGAUGAACUCGUGGAGGUGGUUGUGGACGUACCUCAGACAGCUCAAUAUGUACGCGGAAGGGAUGGUAAGAAUUUGUUGUUGUUUGAAGGCUGGGCGGCAGCUUUCCCGAUAGUUCAUUUGGCACAGGAUUCUGAUUGCUUUCUUUUGCAGGACGAAGAUCUUGUCAGCAUCUGAUGAAGUACCCCAUAGAAGUAUACCAUAGGUGGCUUUGCUGUGGAAGUUAGCAAAGUAUGUCACCCUUGCAGCUUGGGGAGUUGAGAUAUUCUUGAUUCUUCUGAUACUGAAUAAAGCUGAUGCUAGGUUUUUGCAGGUUUCCUGAAUGUGGUCCUUCCAAGAUGCUUUGCUAUUUAGGUAAAAUCCCAAGAAUUUUACCGAUGUGACGUUGGUGGGUUUUGAAGAUAUAAAUAGUUCCUGAGUCUUGUCUCCAUUGAGUUUCAGUUUAUUUGCUGUGAACCAUUCAUUGGCAUCUUCAAGGAUUUUUCUCAUUUUUGGUUUUAGCGUAUCCUCUGUUUCUUCUUUGAUGCAGAAGGAAGUGUCGUCCGCAUAUAGACACUGUCCAUCCACUCUCAUAUUGAUAGGCAAGUCAUUUACAUAGAUUAUAAAUAGCAGUGGACCGAGGAUUGAUCCCUGGGGCACUCCACACCUUGUUGGCAGAGGCUUUGACCAUUUUUCAUUCCAUUUUACUAUCUGGGUUCUAUUUUCAAGGGAAGAAUUUGUCAAAGGCAGCUGUCAGAGUUGUAUGGAAGACAGUGUAGGCCUCUUUUGCAUUACGGUGUUUGAAGACACGAGCCCACUCAAUUCCGGUUAAGUACUCCUUAAAGUAGUUCUUGCACUGGGUUCUUAAUCUUCAGGACUUGACAGUAGUGAUCAGACAUGCACCAACUUUUUGUCUCUUUUGAGAAGAUUUCUUCUAUGUUAAUAUUUGAAAAUAUAUUAUCUAUGCAGCUAGAAGAAGUUUCAGUUGUUCUAGAUGCCUCUCUCAUUAGUGGUUGCAUACCAUAUGUUGUGAAAGUUUCGAUUAAUAAAGAUUGUUCGACGCCAUCCUUGAGAAUAUUGGUGUUAAAGUCCCCAGCGACAAUGUAUCGUCUAGAGUGGUUCCUUUGUGUCAGGUUUUCUAGUGCUUCAUUAAUUUUAUCUAUGAAGUGCUUGAAGUUCUGAUUUGGAGAUCGAUAUACCGCCAUUAUUAUUAAGUUUUUUGAAGGAAUCUCAGCAGCUGAGAUUUCUGCAGUGAAUUCUUCACAUAGGGGUCUAAUGCCUUCAAUAUUUUUUGCGGAAAUACCCUCCCUUGUUGCGAUUAAGGAUCCGCCAUGCUGGUUAAGUGAUCUGCUAAAGUGGCUUAUAAUAUUAUAUCCUGGGAUGGUUAAGCUUUCCAGGGUGUUGUCCUUGCACCAGUGCUCAGUGAUAAUUACAAUGUCUACUUCGUCUUCUGUUAACUGUAUAGUCAGUGCGUCUAUUUUUUUCGAUAGUGAUUGUAUGUUAUAGUUUAUUAUUGUGGUUAGGUUUUCAAAACCUACCGAUUUGUUGGGGUCUUCUUUUUCGUCGUUUCGUUGGUUUAAUGAUUGGCUUGUUUCGGGUUUUUUGUCCUGGACUGUGUUACCCUCCUUGUCAACUUGUUUUUUUUGCUUGUUGUUUUCUAUCACCCUGUCAGAUGGCUUGUUACUUUUUUUCUGAGCUUUUACGUUCGUCAGGUUUUCUCUUUCUUGGUUUGUGAUGACAUCUGUGUGUCCUUUGUUGGAUCUUGUUAUUGGUUUGGACGAUUUGGUUUGUGACUCCGCUAACAGCUGAUCUAACCUUUGUAUUGUUCCGUUUUGAUUUUGUAUUUGUUUCAGACAGUCGUCAAUUUUUCCCUUAAGGUUACUUACAAUAUCUAUAAGGUGUCUCAUCGCUUCCUCUUGCGAGGGUCUGAUUCUGCAGGAGUCGCACACCCAUUUGAUAUUUUCCUUGUAGUUAUCUAGUACCUUGAUUUCUCCAGUUUUUCUCAAGUGCUACGACAACAUUUCUGUAUUUUUUCCAAGUAAUUAGUGAAUUGGUUGAAUUUUUACUCGGCCGUACUAUUUUUUUGGUACGUUUCGUCUCCUAACUUAUAGUCCUCCGUAGACUCGAUAAAGAAAUUUAGUGCUUUUACAAUUAACAAUCAGAGGGCGCGACACUCACAACACUAAUACGGUG